GACGAACCUGACGAACGUUAUUCGGAAUCACUGGGCUUAAAGGGUGCGUAGGUGGCGUCGUAAGUGGGGUGUGAAAUCCCGGGGCUUAACCCCGGGACUGCAUUCCAUACUGCGGUGCUUGAGGACUGGAGAGGAGACUGGAAUUUACGGUGUAGCAGUGAAAUGCGUAGAGAUCGUAAGGAAGACCAGUGGCGAAGGCGGGUCUCUGGACAGUUCCUGACACUGAGGCACGAAGGCCAGGGGAGCAAACGGG
rnacentral:rRNA from 1 species